rnacentral:rRNA from 1 species
GCCUGACGCAGCGACGCCGCGUGAGUGAUGAAGGCCUUCGGGUUGUAAAGCUCUGUGGAGGGGGACGGAAUAAGGGCUGGCUAACAUCCAGCUUGAUGACGGUACCUCUUUAGCAAGCACCGGCUAACUCUGUGCCAGCAGCCGCGGUAAGACAGAGGGUGCAAACGUUGUUCGGAAUUACUGGGCGUAAAGCGCGUGUAGGCUUCUUCGAAAGUCGGAUGUGAAAGCCCUGGGCUCAACCUAGGAAGUGCAUUCGAAACUUCGAAGCUGGAGUCCUGGAGAGGAUAGCGGAAUUCUCGGUGUAGAGGUGAAAUUCGUAGAUAUCGAGAGGAACACCGGUGGCGAAGGCGGCUAUCUGGACAGUGACUGACGCUGAGACGCGAAAGCGUGGGGAGGCAAACAGGAUUAGAUACCUGGUAGUCCACGCCGUAAACGAUGGUGCUAGGUGUCGCGGGCUUGACCUCGCGGUGCCGUAGCGUAACGACAUUAAGCACCCGCC